UUUCCGGUUGAUCCUGCCGGAGGCCACUGCUAUCGGGGUUCGAUUAAGCCAUGCGAGUCGAGAGGGUUCAGACCCUCGGCGGACUGCUCAGUAACACGUGGAUAACCUGCCCUAAGGUGGAGCAUAACCCCGGGAAACUGGGGAUAAUACUCCAUAGAUUAGAGACACUGGAAUGUUCUUUAGUCGAAAGUUCUGGCGCCUUAGGAUGGAUCUGCGGUCGAUUAGGUUGUUGUUGGGGUAACGGCCCAACAAGCCUGUAAUCGAUACGGGUUGUGGGAGCAAGAGCCCGGAGAUGGAAUCUGAGACACGAUUCCAGGCCCUACGGGGCGCAGCAGGCGCGAAAACUUUACAGUGCAGGAAACUGUGAUAAGGGAACCCCGAGUGCCCGUAUACGCGGGCUGUCCAGGUGUUUAAAAGUCAUCUGAAGAAAGGGCCGGGCAAGACCGGUGCCAGCCGCCGCGGUAAUACCGGCGGCUCGAGUGGUGGCCACUAUUAUUGGGCUUAAAGCGUCCGUAGCUGGACUGAUAAGUCUCUUGGGAAAUCCGCCGGCUCAACCGGCGGGCGUCUAAGGGAUACUGUUGGUCUAGGGACCGGGAGAGGUGAGAGGUACUCCGGGGGUAGGAGUGAAAUCCUGUAAUCCCCGGGGGACCACCGAUGGCGAAGGCAUCUCACCAGAACGGCUCCGACAGUGAGGGACGAAAGCUGGGGGAGCAAACCGGAUUAGAUACCCGGGUAGUCCCAGCCGUAAACUAUGCGCGUUAGGUGUGCUGGUGACCACGUGUCACCGGGGUGCCGAAGGGAA
rnacentral:rRNA from 1 species